rnacentral:lncRNA from 1 species
GGGCAAUCUGCCAAAACCAAUACACAUUCUGAGUGUUUUGAAAUGAUCACAGACCAUUCUGAAACAGAUCAGAGCAUAUGUUUGAAGUAAUAUGCUUCAUGUAAGGCAGUUUGAUGGCUGUGUAGUAACAUGUUGGCAUGCCACACAGGAGGUUCACAUCCUGGGUCUGGCAUCUCAUGAAAAGUUUUUUGGGGCCCAGGCAAUUCCUGUCCUUCACCAUCUGGUCCCCCUUCACAGAUGUGGGUAGAGCUCAUUGUUGGAACUGGCCCUGUCCCUUAGCGGUCUCAUUGAUUGGAAAGGGGCAUAAAACAACAAAAAAAAAAAGUAUUCAUGCUCUGUAUUACUAGCAGUAAUAGAAUUCCACUACUCGUAAUGGAAUUUUGAUCAUUUAGUAUUGUGUUUGCAAUGCCAACUAAUUCACGAAAAAGGAGCAAAGAAAAGGAACAACAUUUCAGAUAUUUGGACAAAGGACUUCAUUUAUAUGUGCUUUUACAAUAUUUUUAUUUUUCAAAUUGUGAAAUCUUUCCAAAAGUAAAAUUUUUCUUAAAAAGUUUAAGAGAGUUCACUAAUAACUAG